CUGUAAAGAUAUGUUGAGCCGUAGAGCCGCGACCUUUUACAAAAGGACAUAUCGAUGAA
rnacentral:ncRNA from 1 species